GUGCUCACUUCAGCAGCACACAUACUAAAAUUGGAAUGAUAUAGAGAAGAUUAGCACGGCUCCUGCACAAGGAUGUCAUGCAAAUUUGUGAAGCAUUCUAUACUUUU